GACGAACGCUGGCGGCGUGCCUAACACAUGCAAGUCGAACGGACGAGGGGAGCUUGCUCCCCGAGUUAGUGGCGAACGGGUGAGUAACGCGUGAGAAACCUGCCUUUCAGUGGGGGACAACAGUUGGAAACGACUGCUAAUACCGCAUAAUGUACUUUGGGGGCAUCCCCGAGGUACCAAAGCUUAAUGUGCUGAAAGAUGGUCUCGCGUCUGAUUAGCUAGAUGGCGGGGUAACGGCCCACCAUGGCGACGAUCAGUAGCCGGUCUGAGAGGAUGAACGGCCACAUUGGGACUGAGAUACGGCCCAGACUCCUACGGGAGGCAGCAGUGGGGAAUAUUGGGCAAUGGGGGAAACCCUGACCCAGCAACGCCGCGUGAAGGAAGAAGGCCUC
rnacentral:rRNA from 1 species